ensembl:antisense Gm20647 predicted gene 20647
ACAGAAGGGAAAUCUCACUUCUGCUUGGGCAGGAGUGCCUAUGAUUGGAAACAUAAGAUGUUAUAAGGUUAAGUUACAUGCUUUCUGUUUACCCGACGCAUGUUAUCAAUGUCAUGCAACACAGGGACCACCGUCAGAGGAGUUCGUACUCUCCAAGUACAGUUGUCUUAUGGAAAAACUUCUCGGGGCACAGGCCAGCUGACUCAACGUCUCCCGCCAGCCGUCAGCACACACGUGGUGUUCCUUUGCAGAUUUGUGAACAGUCAGCAAUGAGGAGGAGUUCCCAUUUUUAGAGAGGGUCACUGAAGGGGGAAAAUGCGAGAAAGCCUAAUUAAAAACACAUCUUCUCCAGAGACCAUUACCCAACUCCUAAUGUCAAAGACAUUUCCUCAUAUGAAAAAAAGAAUUCAAAAGAAAUUACUCUGACUGGAUUCAAUUCUUUCUUCAAUGGCCUGGUGCAGCAACUGUAGCCUUGAAAUCACAUCAACUGCCUGCACUGGGCCUAUCAACAUUCAGUCAUGAAUGAGGAAGUGGAUCAUCGGAUUCUCUGACAAAAGAGACUGGCAACUGAAAGGUUCUGGAAGGGUGGAAGUCAUUGUCUACAGUUGUGUUCCUGAUGGUGACCUCGCCAAACUCUGAUGGAUAGUGCCAAACCCGCUGUUACGCAGAUGCCACCAGUUCAGCUCAGCGACAUCACAAAACAAAGCAACAAAGAGGCAAUCACGUGAAAGGAGGACUUGUGUGUCGGGGGGAUUGACAGGGACAGAAGAUGAGAGUAAUUAGACUGAAUUUUAUACAUGAAAGAAAAUGUCAGAGGCAAGAUAACUAAUAAAAAAAGGAAAAAGAAGGUUUAAUGU